UAUAUCCCGCAGAAUCAUUUUUUCCGUGUUGUUGCCAUUGGUUUUGUUGUGCAAAAAAAAACUGGUUGACUAGAACCAGAUUGAUUUUGAAUCGUUCUUUCUCCAGUUUUAAAUAAUUUCUCGUGCUGAAAAACAAGGUUCUCAACAGCUAUUGCGGAAGAAAAUGGAAGCAAAUACCUUUUGGAGAACCGACUCAAUUUUUCUUGAACAUGAUUUGGUCAGUAUCGUAUUCUCCUUCAAUGCGGCUUCCCGGAUCAUAAACAAUGCCGAACUUGCUGAUAUAAAUGUUCAAUAAUUUGUAAAAUUAACAUAAUUUUUCACGGAAAACAAAUGAAUUUAAUGUGGAAAUUUACAAUGUGAGUG